UACGUAGGGGGGCGAGCGUUGUCCGAAGUUACUGGGCGUAAAGCGCGCGUAGGCGGACUCUUAAGUGAGGGGGUGAAAGGUUUGGGCUCAACCCAAACACUGCCUUUCAUACUGGGAGUCUUGAGUAUGGGAGAGGCGAGUGGAAUGGUCGGUGUAGCGGUGAAAAUGCGUAGAUAUCGAUCGGAACACCCAUGGCGAAGGCAGCUCGCUGGCCUAAAACUGACGCUGAGGCGCGAAAAGCGUGGGGAGCAAACAGG
rnacentral:rRNA from 1 species